AACUCCUGACCUCAAAUGACCUGCCCUGCUCGGCCUCCCAAAGUGCUGGGAUUACAGGCGUGAGCCACCGCGCCUGGCCACAGCCCCAGUUCAGCAGUUGCUCACUGAGUAUCUACCAUGUGACCAGCACUGUUCUAGGCCAUUUUUGGUGAUGGGGCGUUGUAUGUCAUAGCCUUCAUCUUCAGGAUGCUUCAGAUAUAUUUGCAAAGACAACACUGGAUCACAUAAAAUGACUAGAUGGUAUGCAGGGCAUCAUGUGGUGUAAUGAAGAGCCAGAAUCAGUGUGGGCCAGAGGCUACAAGUGGGUGUCUCAGCCAAACUGCAUGACGUGUUUUUUAAAAUGUUGGAUUUAAACUACUCUAGGCAAGGUGGUGCUUUGCAGUGUUACAGACCCUACGUGCAGGCUGCUUGGUUUGUUUACUUACCUGCUUGGUUGCCUAAGACAUUUGAAUUUAUAACCCUAUUAGGCAUGCUAUGCUGGUUUAAUGUGAGUCACUAGAAAAGAUUUGUUGAGCACUUACUAUGUGCCAAGCAUUGUACUGGCUGCAGCUGCUUUGGAACUGAUCAUAACAUCUUCCAAAGUUCUUCCACUAGGAAAUAGUAAUAAUGAUAAUAGUGGAACACCAACAAAUACUUUGCCUUUUAUAUUGACUUUCCUCCCGGACUGCCUUCACAUAUGCUCACUCAUUGUGUCAACAAUAUACAAUAUACCUGCCUAGCAGGUAGGGCUUUCCGUGUUGGGGAAACGUGAUUUCAGGGCUUUUGCAAUUUCUUCAAGUUCACACAGUUAGAAUUCUGCUAUUAUGCCUAGUGCUUUAUUAUCCCACCUAAUGUUCACAACAGCUUUACAGGGUAGGGUUGAUGCUAAUACCCAUUUUUUUUUUUUUUUUUGAGACGGAGUCUCGCUCUGUCACCCAGGCUGGAGUGCAGUGGCGGGAUCUCAGCUCACUGCAAGCUCCGCCUCCAGGGUUUACGCCAUUCUCCUGCCUCAGCCUCCGGAGUAGCUGGGACUACAGGCGCCAGUGUACAUGGAGAGUGAGACAAUGCAGGUGUUGACUCACGGAACUGGACGAGAAUCUACUACUCCUUCUCUACUGUUCUCUUCCUACAAACUGAACGAAAAUGAAAAGGAAGUCAUUUCUGCAUGUGUCACAGAGGCAUCCUUUGGUUCUAAAGGGAGCUGAGUUGGAUUCCACAAGCGCAUGGUCCUUGUAGCAUGUGAAUAGGAUUCAGUCAUGGACGAGAAGGAAGGGUUCCGGGGAGACUGUCAUCGCCCUGUCCAGGCUAAUCCUCCAGCUGCCCAGAUUUCAGAGGAGAGCCUGGUGUCACUUACAGCAGACAUUGCAGAUGCCUCAGCAUUUCGGAUGAAGACGGUAAAGACCUUCUUUGUUUCAAAAAAACCUUUGUUUUCCAGAGGAGAAAACACAGGUUGGAUCUAAACUCAAUCCUCCUAUUGAAAUAUUUUAAUGACACUGAAAGAGGUUGUUGCAUUUGGCAGGUGCAGGUGGAGCUGUGCGGUCCUGCACUGAAGCCCUGCAGUCCUGACUUCUGAGUGGAGCUAGAGGACAAUUAUAUUAAUGUGUUUGCACUACUUGCUCAAUUGUAAAGCAUAACAAAUAUAUUUAAGGCAUUUUUUUUUUUUUUUUUUUUUGAGACGGAGUCUCGCUCUGUCGCCCAGG